rnacentral:rRNA from 1 species
AGAGUUUGAUCAUGGCUCAGGAUGAACGCUAGCGGCAGGCCUAAUACAUGCAAGUCGAACGAGGUUUGGUAGCAAUACCAAGCUUAGUGGCGCACGGGUGCGUAACGCGUAUGCAACCUACCUUUUACUGGGGGAUAGCCCGGGGAAACCCGGAUUAAUACCGCAUAAGAUAAUAAGAUGGCAUCAUCAAGUUAUUAAAUCUGAGGAGGUAAAAGAUGGGCAUGCGUCUGAUUAGCUAGUUGGUGAGGUAAUGGCUCACCAAGGCGACGAUCAGUAGGGGACCUGAGAGGGUGAUCCCCCACACUGGCACUGAGAUACGGGCCAGACUCCUACGGGAGGCAGCAGUAGGGAAUAUUGGGCAAUGGUGGAGACACUGACCCAGCCAUGCCGCGUGAAGGAAGAAGGCUUUCUGAGUUGUAAACUUCUUUUAUCUGGGAAUAAACGACCCUUGCGAGGGGCAUUGAAUGUACCAGAUGAAUAAGCACCGGCUAACUCCGUGCCAGCAGCCGCGGUAAUACGGAGGGUGCAAGCGUUGUCCGGAUUUAUUGGGUUUAAAGGGUGCGUAGGCGGUUUAAUAAGUCAGUGUUUAAAGUCAACAGCUUAACUGUUGGAAUGGCAUUGAUACUGUUAAACUUGAGUAAAGUUGAGGUAGGCGGAAUUGAAGGUGUAGCGGUGAAAUGCAUAGAUAUCUUCAAGAACACCAAUUGCGAAGGCAGCUUACUAAGCUUUAACUGACGCUGAGGCACGAAAGCGUGGGGAUCAAACAGGAUUAGAUACCCUAGUAGUCC